rnacentral:rRNA from 1 species
GAUGAACGCUGGCGGCGUGCUUAACACAUGCAAGUCGAGCGAGAAGUUUUGAAAAGAUUCUUCGGAUGAAAUUUAAAAUGGAAAGCGGCGGACGGGUGAGUAACGCGUAGGCAACCUGCCCCAUACAAAGGGAUAGCAUUUGGAAACGAAUAUCAAUACCUUAUGAAACUUAACUAGUGCAUGCUAGGUAGGUCAAAGAUUUAUCGGUAUGGGAUGGGCCUGCGUCUGAUUAGCUAGUUGGUGAGGUAACGGCUCACCAAGGCGACGAUCAGUAGCCGACCUGAGAGGGUGAACGGCCACAUUGGAACUGAGACACGGUCCAAACUCCUACGGGAGGCAGCAGUGGGGGAUAUUGCACAAUGGGGGAAACCCUGAUGCAGCAACGCCGCGUGAACGAUGAAGGCCUUUGGGUCGUAAAGUUCUGUUCUAGGUGAUGAAAACUGACAGUAACCUAGGAGAAAG